AGUGAACGCUGGCGGCGUGCCUAAUACAUGCAAGUCGAACGGAGUGGCGCACGGGUGAGUAAUGUAUAGCUAAUCUGCCCUACACUAGAGGACAACAGUUGGAAACGACUGCUAAUACUCUAUAGUGUAGGAUGAGGCUAUAUUGUAUCAGCUAGUUGGUGAGGUAAUGGCUCACCAAGGCUAUGACGGAUAACUGGUCUUAGAGGAUGAGCAGUCACCCUGGAACUGAGACACGGUCGGGAAGCCUACGGGAGGCAGCAGUAGGGAAUAGUGCUCAGUGGGGGGAACCCUGAAGCAGCAACGCCGCGUGGAGGAUGACACUUGUCGGGACAUAAACUCCUGUUGUUAGGGAAGCGGUACCUGACGAAAAAGCACCGGCUAACUCCGUGCCAGCCGCCGCGGUAAUUC
rnacentral:rRNA from 1 species